AGAGUGAACGCUGGCGGUAGGCCUAACACAUGCAAGUCGAACGGCAGCACGGUAAGAGCUUGCUCUUAUGGGUGGCGAGUGGCGGACGGGUGAGGAAUACAUCGGAAUCUACCUUUUGGUGGGGGAUAACGUAGGGAAACUUACGCUAAUACCGCAUACGCCCUUCGGGGGAAAGCCGGGGACCAGCAAUGGCCUGGUGCUGAUAGAUGAGCCGAUGUCGGAUUAGCUAGUUGGUGAGGUAAUGGCUCACCAAGGCGACGAUCCGUAGCUGGUCUGAGAGGAUGAUCAGCCACACUGGAACUGAGACACGGUCCAGACUCCUACGGGAGCAGCAGUGGGGAAUAUUGGACAAUGGGCGCAAGCCUGAUCCAGCCAUACCGCGUGGGUGGAAGAGGGCCUUGGGUUACGUAAG
rnacentral:rRNA from 1 species